CCUACGGGAGGCAGCAGUAAGGAAUAUUGGUCAAUGGACGCAAGUCUGAACCAGCCAUGCCGCGUGAAGGAUGAAGGCCCUCUGGGUUGUAAACUUCUUUUAUAGGGGACGAAAAAAGGGAAUUCUUUCUCACUUGACGGUACCCUAGGAAUAAGCACCGGCUAACUCCGUGCCAGCAGCCGCGGUAAUACGGAGGGUGCAAGCGUUAUCCGGAUUCACUGGGUUUAAAGGGUGCGUAGGUGGGCAUUUAAGUCAGUGGUGAAAUCUCCGGGCUUAACCCGGAAACUGCCAUUGAUACUAUUUGUCUUGAAUAUUGUGGAGGUAAGCGGAAUAUGUCAUGUAGCGGUGAAAUGCUUAGAUAUGACAUAGAACACCCAUUGCGAAGGCAGCUUACUACGCAAAUAUUGACACUGAGGCACGAAAGCGUGGGGAUCAAACGGGAUUAGAUACCCUGGUAGUCCACGCCCUAAACGAUGGAUACUCGACAUCAGCGAUACACAGUUGGUGUNUGAGCGAAGACAUAAGUAUCCACCNCGGAAGUACGACCGACGAGUAGAACGUAAAUAGAGUAGUACGGCGUGAGAGUGCCGACGGACGACGACGAGGGAGGAGG
rnacentral:rRNA from 1 species